rnacentral:rRNA from 1 species
CCUGCCCAAGAGAUCGGGAUAACACCUGGAAACAGAUGCUAAUACCGGAUAACAACAGAUGAUGCCUAUCAACUGUUUAAAAGAUGGUUCUGCUAUCACUAUUGGAUGGACCUGCGGUGCAUUAGCUAGUUGGUAGGGUAACGGCCUACCAAGGCGAUGAUGCAUAGCCGAGUUGAGAGACUGAUCGGCCACAUUGGGACUGAGACACGGCCCAAACUCCUACGGGAGGCAGCAGGA